rnacentral:rRNA from 1 species
AUUGAACGCUGGCGGCAUGCCUUACACAUGCAAGUCUAACGGUAACAGGUCUUCGGAUGCUGACGAGUGGCGAACGGGUGAGUAAUACAUCGGAACGUGCCCGGGAGUGGGGAUAACGAGGCGAAAGCUUUGCUAAUACCGCAUACGAUCUCAGGAUGAAAGCAGGGGACCGCAAGGCCUUGCGCUCACGGAGCGGCCGAUGGCAGAUUAGGUAGUUGGUGGGAUAAAAGCUUACCAAGCCGACGAUCUGUAGCUGGUCUGAGAGGACGACCAGCCACACUGGGACUGAGACACGGCCCAGACUCCUACGGGAGGCAGCAGUGGGGAAUUUUGGACAAUGGGCGCAAGCCUGAUCCAGCCAUGCCGCGUGCAGGAUGAAGGCCUUCGGGUUGUAAACUGCUUUUGUACGGAACGAAAAGACUUCUUCUAAUAAAGGGGGUCCAUGACGGUACCGUAAGAAUAAGCACCGGCUAACUACGUGCCAGCCGCCGCCGUAACAC